GAUUUGUUCGUAUCGAAGAAGCACUUGUGGAGGAGUCAGUGUCAACCGAUAAAGGCGAGGAAAAGGAGAUGUGGUUUCCUGAACAAUUAAAGGAUUCAUUAGAUAACCUCUCUCACAAACACGCCCACAUCCACACAGUUUGGAUUGAAACAAGGGCGUCAAGUGUAUUUUUGUCCUGCAGAUUUUAGUUAUUGACAUACACAAACCCACACACAAAGUAAUAUUCUCAUCAGAAAUCAUGAAGAGCACCAUCAUGUAUCCGAAUGUAUCUUUCAUGACAAAGACUCAGCUUCACUUACUGGGGUAACAUGUAUAAGCAACUAUUUUCCUACCAAAUAUGUUCGGAAAUUUCCGUUGUUUAAACCUUA